UACGUAGGGGCCUAGCGUUGUCCGGAUUUAUUGGGCGUAAAGAGCUCGUAGGCGGCUCGGUUAGUCAGGUGUGAAAUCUCCACGCUCAACGUGGAGGGGCCACCUGAUACUGCCGUGGCUUGAGUCCGGUAGGGGAGUGUGGAAUUCCCGGUGUAGCGGUGAAAUGCGCAGAUAUCGGGAGGAACACCCGUAGCGAAGGCGGCACUCUGGGCCGUGACUGACGCUGAGGAGCGAAAGCGUGGGUAGCAAACAGG
rnacentral:rRNA from 1 species